ACGCUGGCGGCGUGCCUAACACAUGCAAGUCGAACGGAGUUAAAGAGCUUCGGUUUUUUACUUAGUGGCGAACGGGUGAGUAACGCGUGAGCAACCUACCUUUCAGUGGGGGACAACAGUUGGAAACGACUGCUAAUACCGCAUGAUGUCAUCGGGGGACAUCCUCUGGUGACCAAAGCUUUAUGUGCUGAAAGAUGGCUUCGCGUCUGAUUAGCUAGAUGGCGGGGUAACGGCCCACCAUGGCGACGAUCAGUAGCCGGUCUGAGAGGAUGAACGGCCACAUUGGGACUGAGAUACGGCCCAGACUCCUACGGGAGGCAGCAGUGGGGAAUAUUGGGCAAUGGGGGAAACCCUGACCCAGCAACGCCGCGUGAAGGAAGAAGGCCUUCGGGUUGUAAACUUCUUUUAGCAGGGACGAAGGACGUGACGGUACCUGCAGAAAAAGCAACGGCUAACUACGUG
rnacentral:rRNA from 1 species